AGAGUUUGAUUAUGGCUCAGAAUGAACGUUGGCGGCGUGGAUUAGGCAUGCAAGUCGCGCGAUAGACGUAGCAAUACGUGGAAAGCGGCGAAAGGGAGAGUAAUGCAUGGUUAGCUACCCCCGGGACUGGGAUAGCGGCGGGAAACUGCCGGUAAUACCAGAUGACAUCUUCGGAUCAAAGGUGUGAAUCCGCCCGGGGAGGCGACCGUGUCCUAUCAGCUAGUUGGUGUGGUAAUGGCUCACCAAGGCUAAAACGGGUAUGGGGCGUGAGAGCGUGCCCCCACUCACUGGGACUGAGACACUGCCCAGACACCUACGGGUGGCUGCAGUCGAGAAUCUUCGGCAAUGGGCGCAAGCCUGACCGAGCGACGCCGCGUGCGGGAUGAAGGCCUUCGGGUUGUAAACCGCUGUCGUAGGGGAGGAAGGUUGCGUGAAGAGCGCAACUUGACCGAUCCUAGGAGGAAGGGCCGGCUAAUCUCGUGCCAGCCGCCGCGGUAA
rnacentral:rRNA from 1 species